GCUGAAUUGUGUUCUAGCAGCACCUCCCCCAAAUCCCCAAGAUCCCCCCCCCCAAGCAGAGGAACUGUUUGAGACCCACGUGGGACCCUGGGAGGGCAGUUGGAGCAGCUGCAGCAAGGACGAGAUACUAAGCACACCCAGAGCAACCCUCACAGCUUGGGGGCCACCGCUGCUAUUAGAACUCAAUCAUCUCCAGAUCCUGUAUGGAGGCCACGUGAUGUAAAGCUAGCAGUCAGGGGGACACUGUUUCCUCAAGUGAAGAAUGGGAAAAUAAUUGGAUGUACUGGGUUCCUUUUCAUUGGGAGUUUUCAAGAAAAGCCUGAAUUGCUUUUUAUCAGGUUUCAGGACUGGGGGCCCACAUGGAAGCUACAGAAUAGAGAAAGGAUCACAAAAGAGCCACUAUACAGUUCAAAGAAGCCCAAGGUCAAAGAGAUCAACCAAUUCCAGUGGGAUUGAUGAGAAUCUGCACCAAGACAGAAGUCUUGUUUUGGAGUUUGAGGAAACAGUUGUUUGACAAUGUCAGAUGCAGGAUUUGCCCGUGCCAGAUUCAGACAAAGUAUCUCAGUUUGGCUAAAAUAUUGGCUCCCCUAUCACUGAGAAAAAAGGUAAAAUCAGACCAGAGAAUGCUAUUUCCCAUUUGCUGCUAAAAUCUAGUACUUUUUCUGUCUUUAAAAAGUGUGGCAAUUUUCUGUAAUCCUGGCUGCUUAUUGGGUAAGUGCAUAUUGUUUAAAUGGUCCUACACUCUUAUUAUAAAUUACUUCAUUAAGUCCUGAUUCUAGGACCUGUUAUGGGCUUAUCUUUGCUUA